AAGCCCUGAUGUGGGCAUUUCCUUAGUAAUUCCUUGUACCUCUCCCAAGCAUCAAGGAUUGCUUCAUCAUCCAUUUGUCUAAAAAGAUAAAUUUCAUUUUUGAACUU